rnacentral:lncRNA from 1 species
CCACUAAUUGGGUUGUAAAAGGUCUUUUCUAUUCCAUUUUAAUUCUUAUAAUAUGCCCCUCACCAAGAUAUGAGGGUGUCUGUCUAAGGAUGUCUUUCUUUUCAUUCUUUUCAGCUGUGUUUAUUUUCCUCUCUCCCCUUACCCAUUCUUUGCAAGUUCAUGAAGAGCAUUCAGACCCCAUGAGGGGGUCUCUACAGAUCCCCUAAGAAGAUUAAGCUCUCUGAAUAUUUCAUGCCCUGAUUGACAGCUCUUGAGGACCUCUUGUAAGCCUGGCGCCCGUAUUCUUGUUUUAAAAAAAAAAAAAAAGAAAAGAGCGAGUGAGAGAGAGAGACAAGAAAAUCACAUGCACGGGGGAAAAAAUUGAUCCUAUGGGCCCGACCUCUGUGGAUUGAAGGCACUAGACAGUGGCACUUCCUCCUGGACAUCUCCCCCUCCCUCUCCCUGCCCAUCAGUCUCUACCGUGAAACAAAAGGAAGGUAAUGGGAUUUGAAGAGGCAAGGAGUAGUCAGCCGUCGUGGUUGCUGCCCCCUCCCCUGGAGCUCCAGCCCUUAGGCUCAUGGCCCCUCAAGAGCUAUUGCAUAUAUGAGUGGAUUAGAUGUAUGCAAAGGAUGAGUCUUGCUUGCCUUCACUCUUGGAGUGAUGUCACACCUGCAGGAGGAAGAAGACUGCCCUAAAAAUGUGUUCUUGGACACGAGGUGAAGUUGCAGCACUGCCCUUGAAGCCAAGAAACUUGCUUCUAGUUUACACACCAGUGUAGAAAAACUACAAAAUGCAACCAUUAAAGGUAAUCUUGAGUUUGCAUUUAAGUAAGUGCUUAUGUAUGUGGUUA